GAAAGAUUCAUCGGAAGAGGAUGGGCAUGCGGCGCAUUAGCUAGACGGCGGGGUAACGGCCCACCGUGGCGACGAUGCGUAGGGGUUCUGAGAGGAAGGUCCCCCACACUGGUACUGAGACACGGACCAGACUCCUACGGGAGGCAGCAGUGAGGAAUAUUGGUCAAUGGGAGAGAUCCUGAACCAGCCAAGCCGCGUGAGGGAAGACGGCCCUAUGGGUUGUAAACCUCUUUUGUCGGAGAACAAAACCCGGGACGUGUCCCGGACUGCGUGUAUCCGAAGAAAAAGCAUCGGCUAACUCCGUGCCAGCAGCCGCGGUAAUACGGAGGAUGCGAGCGUUAUCCGGAUUUAUUGGGUUUAAAGGGUGCGUAGGCGGUCCGUUAAGUCAGCGGUAAAAUUGCGGGGCUCAACCCCGUCGAGCCGUUGAAACUGGCAGACUUGAGUUGGCGAGAAGUACGCGGAAUGCGCGGUGUAGCGGUGAGAUGCAUAGAUAUCGCGCAGAACUCCGAUUGCGAAGGCAGCGUACCGGCGCCAGACUGACGCUGAGGCACGAAAGCGUGGGGAUCGAACAGGAUUAGAUACCCUGGUAGUCCACGCAGUAAACGAUGAAUGCUGGUUGUCCGGGUCGAAUGAGAUCUGG
rnacentral:rRNA from 1 species